CUCUGAUAGGCCCUGAAGCCCAAGGAUGAGGCACAACAAAACACACUGUGCGGAGGGACAAAGACACAUGCCACUCUCCAACCUGCUGUGGGUGUCCUUGGUCUUCAUCUGCUCUGGAUUCAGUGUGGCCCAGAAAGUGACUCAAGUCCAGCCACUCACAUCCAGACCAGAAGGGGAAACAGCCACCCUGGACUGCUCCUAUGAGACAACCCAGGACUCAUACUUUCUUCACUGGUACAAGCAACUGCCCAGUGGAGAGAUGGUUUUUCUUAUUAUGCAGUAUUCUUCGCAUUCCAAUGCAAAGAGUGGUCGCUAUUCUAUCAACUUCCAGAGCACAGCUAAGUUCAUCAGCCUCACCAUUUCAGCCUUACAGAUGGAAGAUUCGGCUAAGUAUUUCUGUGCUAUCGAGGAACUCACGGUGUUUGAAAUGAUACAUGAUAUCAUCUAUUCCUCUGUCUUGAGGGACGACGCCGAGUGCUGA